rnacentral:rRNA from 1 species
CGAGAACGCUUCAGCUUGCUGAAGUUAGUAAAGUGGCGAACGGGUGAGUAUCGCGUGGGUAAUCUACCCCCGAAUUGGGGAUAACCCGCCGAAAGGCGGGCUAAUACCGGAUAAUAUCUUAAAAACCUCGGUUUUAAAGAUCAAAGGUGGCCUCUACAUGUAAGCUUCUGUUUGGGGAUGAGCCCGCGUACCAUUAGCUUGUUGGUAGGGUAAUGGCCUACCAAGGCAACGAUGGUUAGUUGGUCUGAGAGGAUGAUCAGCCACACUGGAACUGACACACGGUCCAGACUCCUACGGGAGGCAGCAGUGAGGAAUUUUGCGCAAUGGGGGAAACCCUGACGCAGCAACGCCGCGUGAGUGAUGAAGGCUUUCGGGUCGUAAAGCUCUGUCAAGUGGGAAGAACCCACGUGGUGAUAAUACCACCAUGUGCUGACGGUACCACUGAAGGAAGCACCGGCUAACUCCGUGCCAGCAGCCGCGGUAAUACGGGGGGUGCAAGCGUUAUUCGGAAUUACUGGGCGUAAAGAGCGCGUAGGCGGCCUCUUAAGUCGGGUGUGAAAGCCCGGGGCUCAACCCCGGAAGUGCACUCGAAACUAUAAGACUUGAGUAUGGGAGAGGGA